GAGAGAGAAAUGAAAGUAUAAGAACUGCUAAUUCUCAUAACCCCGGUUAAAUCCCGAGGCUCCCUCG
rnacentral:tRNA from 1 species